rnacentral:rRNA from 1 species
UACGUAGGGUGCAAGCGUUGUCCGGAAUUAUUGGGCGUAAAGAGCUCGUAGGCGGUUUGUCGCGUCUGCUGUGAAAACCCGAGGCUCAACCUCGGGCCUGCAGUGGGUACGGGCAGACUAGAGUGCGGUAGGGGAGAUUGGAAUCCUGGUGUAGCGGUGGAAUGCGCAGAUAUCAGGAGGAACACCGAUGGCGAAGGCAGAUCUCUGGGCCGUAACUGACGCUGAGGAGCGAAAGCAUGGGGAGCGAACAGG